GUCGGGUUGGAUGGAUAACCGACAGAUGAGCUCAUUAGCCAUAGGACAGGAAUCGGAAGAAGGAGCAUUAUGGAGAGUUAUACCACGUAUUGGUUUAUAUGAUGUUGUGUUAAUUAGAUAAUCUUUUUUUUCUCUCGUCUUAUUACAAUUUUUUAAGAGGAAUAGGGGUUGUAUGUUUUAUAUGUAUAUUAUGUUAUAAGCUAUUAUGUAAGAAGUCUUGUAUAUAAACAUAUGCCUGUUUGUUUUUUUUUUUUUUACCUAAAGUAUUUAGUUCUGAUUUUUAAUGAAGUCAGCGAUACAGUAUCGAGUCAAAGGCUCCUAUUUUAAUAUUAAGUAUAUAAAGUUAGUUGUAAUACUUCUUAUUAUCAAAAUAGCGCAACAAAAAGCGUAAUAUUCUGAUAAUGAGGGUGUUACAUAUGUUGUUAUGAA